CUAAUGUUUGCAAUGUUAAAUCACAGAUAUUGCCAACGUGAAAUAGUUUCCAUAUGCUGUGUUCUCAAUACACACCUUUUCCAAAGAUAUCCCAAGUUGUAGUCUUAGAAAACUGAUUUUUCUUAUUUGUUCUCACAGGAAUUUGGGGAGCUAUGUAGGAUCUCCAUAAAAUGAGCUCCAGAAAGACACAUGUGCACACACACACACUCACACAUGUACCACACCACACUUGACUCUGUUUAUUUGGGAC
rnacentral:lncRNA from 10 species